rnacentral:rRNA from 1 species
CACGGAGUUAGCCGGCGCUUAUUCGUAUAGUACCUUCAGCUACCCUCACGAGGGUAGGUUUAUCCCUAUACAAAAGAAGUUUACAACCCAUAGGGCAGUCGUCCUUCACGCGGGAUGGCUGGUUCAGGCUUGCACCCAUUGACCAAUAUUCCUCACUGCUGCCUCCCGUAGGAGUCUGGUCCGUGUCUCAGUACCAGUGUGGGGGAUCACCCUCUCAGGCCCCCUAAAGAUCAUCGCCUUGGUGAGCCGUUACCUCACCAACUAGCUAAUCUUGCGCGUGCCCAUCUCUAUCCGCCGGAGCUUUCAAUAUUAAUUGAUGCCAAUCAAUAUGUUAUGGAGUAUUAAUCUUCCUUUACGAAAGGCUACUCCCCCAGAUAAAGGCAGGUUGCACACGUGUUCCGCACCCGUACGCCGCUCUCUCAUUUCCGAAGAACAAUACCGCUCGGCUUGCAUGUGUUAGGCCUCCGCUAGCGUUCAUCCUGACGCCAGGACUACAAACUCU